AGUGCCACCAGUAGCACCAGUAACAGCGUGGCUGCGGCUCCCAGUGCUCCCAGUAUCACGAGUACCGGCACACCAGCGGCUCCCAGUGCUCCCAGUGCUCCCAGUGCUCCGCCGGCCGCCGGCCCCAAGGGCAGCUCCUCGUCGUCGUCCUCCUCCUCCUCUUCCUCCUCGUCCUCCUCCUCCUCCUCGUCCGACUCCGACUCCGACUCCAGCUCCAGCUCUUCCGACUCCGCCCCGCCUUCGCCGGCCCCGCCCACCGGGUGAGGACACGCCCCUUUCCUUAAUUAACCACGCCUCAUUUGCUAAUUAACCCCUCCCACCGGGUGAGGACACGCCCCUUUCCUUAAUUAACCACGCCUCUUUUCCUAAUUAAUCCCUCCCACCAGGUGAGGACACGCCCCUUUCCUUAAUUAACCACGCCCCUUUUCCUAAUUAAUCCCUCCCACCAGGUGAGGACACGCGCCUUUCCUUAAUUAACCACGCCUCUUUUCCUAAUUAACCCCACCCACCCAGUGAAGACAUGCGCCUUUUGUUAAUUAGCCCCACCCACCAGGUGAGGACACGCCCCUUUUCUUAAUUAGCAAUUCCACUUUCCUUGAUUAGCUCCACCCAUUGUGUGAGGACACGCCCCUUUCCUUAAUUAACCGUGCCUCAUUUCCUAAUUAAUCCCUCCCACCGGGUGAGGACACGCCCCUUUUCUUAAUGAGCAAUUUCACUUUCCUUGAUUAGCCCUGCCCACCAGGUGAGGACACGC
rnacentral:lncRNA from 1 species